rnacentral:tRNA from 1 species
ACCUGGGUGGCUAAAUUGGUUAAGCAUUUGACUUUGGCUCAGAUUAUUAUCUUGCAGUUUGUGGGUUUGAGCCCCGUGUCAGGCU